rnacentral:rRNA from 1 species
ACGCAUCUCUUCGGGGAUGAGUGGCGGACGGGUGAGUAACGCGUGAGAAUCUGCCUUCAGGACUGGGACAACCACUGGAAACGGUGGCUAAUACCAGAUAUGCAGUGAGUGAAAAGGUUUAUUCCGCCUGAAGAUGAGCUCGCGUCAGAUUAGUUAGUUGGUGAGGUAACGGCUUACCAAGGCAUCGAUCUGUAGCUGGUCUGAGAGGAUGACCAGCCACACUGGGACUGAGAGACGGCCCAGACUCCUACGGGAGGCAGCAGUGAGGAAUUUUCCGCAAUGGGCGCAAGCCUGACGGAGUAAUACCGCGUGCGGGAGGAAGGUCUAUUGACUGUAAACCGCUUUUAUUAAGAAAGAAUUCUGACGGUACUUAAUGAAUAAGCCUCGGCUAACUCCGUGCCAGCAGCCGCGGUAAGACGGAGGAGGCAAGCGUUAUCCGGAAUUAUUGGGCGUAAAGCGUCCGUAGGUGGUUUUGCAAGUCUGCUGUCAAAGCCCGUGGCUCAACCACGGAAAGGCAGUGGAAACAACAAAACUCGAGUGCAGUAGGGGCAGAGGGAAUUCCCAGUGUAGCGGUGAAAUGCGUAGAGAUUGGGAAGAACACCCGUGGCGAAAGCGCUCUGCUGGACUGCAACUGACACUAAGGGACGA